rnacentral:rRNA from 1 species
AUUGAACGCUGGCGGCAGGCCUAACACAUGCAAGUCGAACGGUAACAGGAAGAAGCUUGCUUCUUUGCUGACGAGUGGCGGACGGGUGAGUAAUGUCUGGGAAACUGCCUGAUGGAGGGGGAUAACUACUGGAAACGGUAGCUAAUACCGCAUAACGUCGCAAGACCAAAGAGGGGGACCUUCGGGCCUCUUGCCAUCGGAUGUGCCCAGAUGGGAUUAGCUAGUAGGUGGGGUAACGGCUCACCUAGGCGACGAUCCCUAGCUGGUCUGAGAGGAUGACCGGCCACACUGGAACUGAGACACGGUCCAGACUCCUACGGGAGGCAGCAGUGGGGAAUAUUGCACAAUGGGCGAAAGCCUGAUGCAGCCAUGCCGCGUGUAUGAAGAAGGCCUUCGGGUUGUAAAGUACUUUCCGCGGGGAGGAAGGGAGUAAAGUUAAUACCUUUACUCAUUGACGUUACCCGCAGAAGAAGCACCGGCUAACUCCGUG